rfam:Morus notabilis contig2865, whole genome shotgun sequence.
AGGAGUCUCACAGGGGUUACCUGAGAAUACACGAAUAAAUUAUUUAUAUUUAUUUAUCUCACAAUGUGGUGGUUGUUUCAUGUGUUCUCAGGUCGCCCCUGUAUGGCUUUC